rnacentral:rRNA from 1 species
UACGUAGGCAGCAAGCGUUGUUCGGAGUUACUGGGCGUAAAGGGUGUGUAGGCGGUUCUUUAAGUUUGGUGUGAAAUCUCCCGGCUCAACUGGGAGGGUGCGCCGAAUACUGAGGGACUAGAGUACGGGAGAGGAAAGUGGAAUUCCUGGUGUAGCGGUGAAAUGCGUAGAUAUUGGGAGGAACACCAGUGGCGAAGGCGGCUCACUGGACUGGUACUGACGCUGAGGCGCGAAAGCGUGGGGAGCAAACGGG